GCGCGCUACCAUGCAGUCGAGCGGAGCGAGGGUGCUUGCACCUUAGCUUAGCGGCGGACGGGUGAGUAAUGCUUAGGAAUCUGCCUAUUAGUGGGGGACAACAUUCCGAAAGGGAUGCUAAUACCGCAUACGCCCUAAGGGGGAAAGCAGGGGAUCUUCGGACCUUGCGCUAAUAGAUGAGCCUAAGUCGGAUUAGCUAGUUGGUGGGGUAAAGGCCUACCAAGGCGACGAUCUGUAGCGGGUCUGAGAGGAUGAUCCGCCACACUGGGACUGAGACACGGCCCAGACUCCUACGGGAGGCAGCAGUGGGGAAUAUUGGACAAUGGGCGGAAGCCUGAUCCAGCCAUGCCGCGUGUGUGAAGAAGGCCUUUUGGUUGUAAAGCACUUUAAGCGAGGAGGAGGCUACUAGUAUUAAUACUACUGGAUAGUGGACGUUACUCGCAGAAUAAGCACCGGCUAACUCUGUGCCAGCAGCCGCGGUAAUACAGAGGGUGCGAGCGUUAAUCGGAUUUACUGGGCGUAAAGCGUGCGUAGGCGGCUUUUUAAGUCGGAUGUGAAAUCCCCGAGCUUAACUUGGGAAUUGCAUUCGAUACUGGGAAGCUAGAGUAUGGGAGAGGAUGGUAGAAUUCCAGGUGUAGCGGUGAAAUGCGUAGAGAUCUGGAGGAAUACCGAUGGCGAAGGCAGCCAUCUGGCCUAAUACUGACGCUGAGGUACGAAAGCAUGGGGAGCAAACAGGAUUAGACACCCUGGUAGUCCAUGCCGUAAACGAUGUCUACUAGCCGUUGGGGCCUUUGAGGCUUUAGUGGCGCAGCUAACGCGAUAAGUAGACCGCCCUGGGGAGUACGGUCGCAAGACUAAAACUCAAGGAAUUUGACGG
rnacentral:rRNA from 1 species